UGGGGAAUAUUGGACAAUGGGCGAAAGCCUGAUCCAGCCAUGCCGCGUGUGUGAAGAAGGUCUUCGGAUUGUAAAGAACUUUAAGUUGGGAGGAAGGGCAGUAAGCGAAUACCUUGCUGUUUUGACGUUACCGACAGAAUAAGCACCGGCUAACUCUGUGCCAGCAGCCGCGGUAAUACAGAGGGUGCAAGCGUUAAUCGGAAUUACUGGGCGUAAAGCGCGCGUAGGUGGUUCGUUAAGUUGAAUGUGAAAGCCCCGGGCUCAACCUGGGAACUGCAUCCAAAACUGGCGAGCUAGAGUAGGGCAGAGGGUGGUGGAAUUUCCUGUGUAGCGGUGAAAUGCGUAGAGAUCUGGAGGAAUACCGAUGGCGAAGGCAGCCAUCUGGCCUAACACUGACGCUGAGGUACGAAAGCAUGGGGAGCAAACAGG
rnacentral:rRNA from 1 species